rnacentral:rRNA from 1 species
GACGAACGCUGGCGGCGUGCUUAACACAUGCAAGUCGAACGGAAAGGCCCUGCUUUUGUGGGGUGCUCGAGUGGCGAACGGGUGAGUAACACGUGAGUAACCUGCCCUUGACUUUGGGAUAACUUCAGGAAACUGGGGCUAAUACCGGAUAGGAGCUCCUGCUGCAUGGUGGGGGUUGGAAAGAUUCGGCGGUUGGGGAUGGACUCGCGGCUUAUCAGCUUGUUGGUGGGGUAGUGGCUUACCAGGGCUUUGACGGGUAGCCGGCCUGAGAGGGUGACCGGCCACAUUGGGACUGAGAUACGGCCCAGACUCCUACGGGAGGCAGCAGUGGGGAAUAUUGCACAAUGGGCGGAAGCCUGAUGCAGCAACGCCGCGUGCGGGAUGACGGCCUUCGGGUUGUAAACCGCUUUCGCCUGUGACGAAGCGUGAGUGACGGUAAUGGGUAAAGAAGCACCGGCUAACUACGUG